GACGAACGCUGGCGGCGUGCCUAAUACAUGCAAGUAGGACGCAGUUGCGAACGGGUGAGUAACGCGUAGGUAACUACCUAUUAGAGGGGGAUAACUAUUGGAAACGAUAGCUAAUACCGCAUAAUAGUAGAUGGACCUGCGUUGUAUUAGCUAGUAGGUGGGGUGAUGGCCUACCAAGGCGGUGACGGGUAGCCGGCUGUAGAGGGUGACCGGCCACAUUGGGACUGAGUUACGGCCCAGACUCCUACGUGAGGCAGCAGUGGGGAAUAUUGGACAAUGGGCGAAAGCCUGAUCCAGCCAUGGCGCGUGUGUGAAGAAGAUCUUCGGAGUGUAAAGCACUUUUAGUUGGGAGGCGUUACCAACAGAAUAAGCACCGGCUAACUUCGUGCCAGCAGCCGCGGUAAUAC
rnacentral:rRNA from 1 species